rnacentral:rRNA from 1 species
UACGUAGGUGGCAAGCGUUGUCCGGAAUUACUGGGCGUAAAGCGUGCGCAGGCGGUUUUGUAAGUCUGUCGUGAAAUCCCCGGGCUCAACCUGGGAAUGGCGAUGGAGACUGCAAGGCUAGAGUUUGGCAGAGGGGGGUAGAAUUCCACGUGUAGCAGUGGAAAUGCGUAGAUAUGCGGAGGAACACCGAUGGCGAAGGCAAUCCCCUGGACCUGUACUGACGCUCAUGCACGAAAGCGUGGGGAGCAAACAGG